CCUGAUGCAGACAACUGGCCAGAGUGCCCCGACCAAUCAGAUGCCUCAUGACCUGCAACCAGGACUGGAAAAAGACAUAAUUUAAGGGACUGUCUCCAACAUGGAUGAAAGGACUUUUUAUCAGGAAAACUACACUACACCAGGAUGAGAAGACGACGACAUCAGAGAUCUCUGUUCUGCACCCUGAUCUCUGCCCCAGAAAGCAGACUUUCAUACAUGACAUCAACCGGCUUCCUUGUCCAGUGGCUUCCACUUGUGUUCAACCAAAGGGAGCCACCACUCCCUCAUCUUGGUCCUUCAGGCCCGGGGAUGAGACACGCCCUCCAGUGCUUCCUCAUUUCUUGUUGGUUCCCUUAACUUUGCCCACAUCUUUGUCAAUAAUCCCUUCGUAAAA